UACGAAGGGGGCUAGCGUUGCUCGGAAUCACUGGGCGUAAAGCGCACGUAGGCGGAUCGUUAAGUCAGGGGUGAAAUCCUGGAGCUCAACUCCAGAACUGCCUUUGAUACUGGCGACCUUGAGUUCGGGAGAGGUGAGUGGAACUGCGAGUGUAGAGGUGAAAUUCGUAGAUAUUCGCAAGAACACCAGUGGCGAAGGCGGCUCACUGGCCCGAUACUGACGCUGAGGUGCGAAAGCGUGGGGAGCAAACAGGG
rnacentral:rRNA from 1 species